rnacentral:rRNA from 1 species
GACGAACGCUGGCGGCGUGCUUAACACAUGCAAGUCGAACGGAAAGGCCCUGCUUUUGUGGGGUGCUCGAGUGGCGAACGGGUGAGUAACACGUGAGUAACCUGCCCUUGACUUUGGGAUAACUUCAGGAAACUGGGGCUAAUACCGGAUAGGAGCUCCUGCUGCAUGGUGGGGGUUGGAAAGUUUCGGCGGUUGGGGAUGGACUCGCGGCUUAUCAGCUUGUUGGUGGGGUAGUGGCUUACCAAGGCUUUGACGGGUAGCCGGCCUGAGAGGGUGACCGGCCACAAUGGGACUGAGGUACGGCCCAGACUCCUACGGGGGGCAGCAGGGGGGAAUAUUGGACAAUGGGCCGAAGCCUGAUGCAACAACGCCGCGGGCGGGAUGAAGGCCUUCGGGGUGGAAACCGCUUUCGCCUGUGACGAAGCGUGAGUGACGGUAAUGGGUAAAGAAGCACCGGCUAACUACGUG